CCUACGGGUGGCAGCAGUGAGGAAUAUUGGUCAAUGGCCGCGAGCCUGAACCAGCCAAGCAGCGUGAAGGACGACUGCCCCACGGGUUGUAAACUUCUUUUAUAAAGGAAUAAAGUCAGGCUCGUGUGCCUUUUUGUAUGUACUUUAUGAAUAAGGAUCGGCUAACUCCUUGCCAGCAGCCGCGGUAAUACGGAGGAUCCGAGCGUUAUCCGGAUUUAUUGGGUUUAAAGGGAGCGUAGAUGGGUUGUUAAGUCAGUUGUGAAAGUUUGCGGCUCAACCGUAAAAUUGCCAUUGAUACUGGCAGCCUUGAGAACAGUUGAGGUAUGCGGAAUUCGUGGUGUAGCGGUGAAAUGCUUAGAUAUCGCGAAGAACUCCGAUUGCGAAGGCAGCUUACUAAACUGCCACUGACAUUGAUGCUCGAAAGUGUGGGUAUCAAACAGGAUUAGAUACCCGUGUAGUC
rnacentral:rRNA from 1 species